rnacentral:rRNA from 1 species
GUCCUUUAGAUUAAAUAAUUUAAGGUCUGACCUGCCCACUGAGAAAUUUAAAGGCCGCAGUAAUUUGACUGUGCAAAGGUAGCAUAAUCAUUAGUUUUUUAAUUAAAAGCUUGUAUGAAUGGUUGGACGAGAUAAAAUCUGUCUCUGAUUAAUAAAUAAAAUUUAAUUUUUAAGUUAAAAAGCUUAAAUUAAUAUAAAAGACGAGAAGACCCUAUAGAUCUUAAUAUAAUAUUUUAAGAUUUUAUUUAAGAUUAUUUUAUUAAUUUUAUUAUUUUAUAUUUUAUUGGGGUAAUAAAAAGAUUGAAUAAAUUCUUUUUCAUAUUUAACAAUAAUAAUUGAUUUUUUGAUCCAUUAAUAGUGAUUAUAAGAUUAAGUUACCUUAGGGAUAACAGCGUAAUUUUUUUAGAGAGUUCAUAUCGAUAAUAAAGUUUGCGACCUCGAUGUUGGAUUAAAAAUUAUUUUGGGUGUAGAAGUUCAAAAUUUUGGUCUGUUCGACCAUUAAAUUUUU